rnacentral:rRNA from 1 species
UACGGAGGGGGCUAGCGUUGUUCGGAAUUACUGGGCGUAAAGCGUACGUAGGCGGCUUUGUAAGUUAGAGGUGAAAGCCCGGGGCUCAACCCCGGAAUAGCCUUUGAGACUGGAUUGCUUGAAUCUUGGAGAGGUGAGUGGAAUUCCGAGUGUAGAGGUGAAAUUCGUAGAUAUUCGGAAGAACACCAGUGGCGAAGGCGGCUCACUGGACAAGUAUUGACGCUGAGGUGCGAAAGCGUGGGGAGCAAACAGG